GAUGAACGCUGGCGGCGUGCCUAAUACAUGCAAGUCGAGCGAACGGACGAGAAGCUUGCUUCUCUGAUGUUAGCGGCGGACGGGUGAGUAACACGUGGAUAACCUACCUAUAAGACUGGGAUAACUUCGGGAAACCGGAGCUAAUACCGGAUGAUAUUUUGAACCGCAUGGUUCAAAAGUGAAAGACGGUCUUGCUGUCACUUAUAGCUGGAUCCGCGCUGCAUUAGCUAGUUGGUAAGGUAACGGCUUACCAAGGCAACGCUGCAUAGCCGACCUGAGAGGGUGAUCGGCCACACUGGAACUGAGACACGGUCCAGACUCCUACGGGAGGCAGCAGUAGGGAAUCUUCCGCAAUGGGCGAAAGCCUGACGGAGCAACGCCGCGUGAGUGAUGAAGGUCGUCGGAUCGUAAAACUCUGUUAUUAGGGAAGAACAUAUGUGUAAGUAACUGUACACAUCUUGACGGUACCUAAUCAGAAAGCCACGGCUAACUACGUG
rnacentral:rRNA from 1 species